rnacentral:rRNA from 1 species
UACGUAGGGUGCGAGCGUUAAUCGGAAUUACUGGGCGUAAAGCGUGCGCAGGCGGUUUGCUAAGACCGAUGUGAAAUCCCCCGGGCUUAACCUGGGAACUGCAUUGGUGACUGGCAGGCUAGAGUAUGGCAGAGGGGGGUAGAAUUCCACGUGUAGCAGUGAAAUGCGUAGAGAUGUGGAGGAAUACCGAUGGCGAAGGCAGCCCCCUGGGCCAAUACUGACGCUCAUGCACGAAAGCGUGGGGAGCAA